rnacentral:rRNA from 1 species
UGCGUAGGCGGAUUUUUAAGUCAGUGGUGAAAUCCUACAGCUUAACUGUAGAACUGCCAUUGAUACUGUAGAUCUUGAGUACGGUUGAGGUGGGCGGAAUGUGUCAUGUAGCGGUGAAAUGCUUAGAUAUGACACAGAACACCAAUUGCGAAGGCAGCUCGCUAAACCGUAACUGACGCUGAGGCACGAAAGCGUGGGGAGCGAACAGGAUUAGAUACCCUGGUAGUCC